rnacentral:lncRNA from 10 species
CCACAAUCAAGGGGAGGGUAGAUAUGUUCUACCUCUUGACAUGUAGUAUGAACAUAAAGCACAGUUGAUUCCUGAGCUGUGAUGACUUUCCACUGACCAUACUACUGCAAUGAUGUUAUUCUGGGCCAAACUUCGGAAUCAAUUCUUGUCUGCUGCCUGAUUCAAUUAUUUUUAAUGCACCCUGUGGAUUUUUACUUGCUAAAGUAGAAAGAAGAUCCCAACAUUUGAUGAGAAAAUAUACAGAAGGCAUAGGUCACAUGUCUGACUCACAGCUGCGAUGUGGUGGAUCCAAAUCUCUCUGAGGCCAAAUACUGCCCAGCUCGAAUGAACGCUAUGCUCCAUGCCUGAAACAACUGCUCCAGCCCUCAGAAAAGAGUCUCCCAUUCAACUGAAGUCUGCAUAUCAGAUUCCCGUGGGAUAAUUCAUAAAGGCUCCUUGAAGUUAAUUCUGGGUAUAUCCUGAAAUAGAGGGUCUCCUCUGUUUUUUCUUCUUUUUUUCCACAACUGAGGAGACACUAGUGCCUACUUAUCUCAAUAAUGGGAUUUCUCUUUGAUGCAAUUGCAGUUUUU